UAAGUUUCAACAACGGAUCUCUUGGCUCUCGCAUCGAUGAAGAACGCAGCGAAAUGCGAUAAGGUGAAUUGCAGAAUUCAGUGAAUCAUCGAAUCUUUGAACGCACCUUGCGCUCCUUGGUAUUCCUUGGAGCAUGCCUGUUUGAGUAUCAU
rnacentral:rRNA from 1 species